rnacentral:lncRNA from 1 species
CAGCAAUCAGGACGGCAAGCCAGCGGCCGGGGACGACGCGCAGUUCGAGAUGGACAUCUGACCGGGCGCCCGCCGCUCUCCUUCGCCAUUGCCCCGUUUAUUGGAACAGUGCCUGGAAAUGGAGGUGCUGCCUUCUGGGCUCCCAUCCUGGGCCUUCCCUGGGAAGUUUCAGCAGCCACGGCACUGGGAAGGUGCCGGCAUCUCCGUGCAGUGCAAACUCUUGGGUCCAGAUUAGACCCCUCUGGCACCUGGGCUCCCAAUUUCU